GACAGAGGGUGCAAACGUUGCUCGGAAUCACUGGGCGUAAAGGGCGUGUAGGCGGGAAGGAAAGUCAGAUGUGAAAUCCUGGAGCUCAACUCCAGAACUGCCUUUGAUACUGGAGAGCUUGAGUCCGGGAGAGGUGAGUGGAACUCCGAGUGUAGAGGUGAAACUCGUAGAUAUUCGGAAGAACACCGGUGGCGAAGGCGGCAUCCUGGACCAUUACUGACGCUGAGGAGCGAAAGCCAGGGGAGCAAACGGG
rnacentral:rRNA from 1 species